UACCAGAGAUGGUUUGGUGCUCGAAAGAGAGCCUGGACACAGGUGCUGCAUGGCUGUCGUCAGCUCGUGUCGUGAGAUGUUGGGUUAAGUCCCGCAACGAGCGCAACCCUUGUCAUUAGUUGCUACGCAAGAGCACUCUAAUGAGACCGCCGGUGACAAACCGGAGGAAGGUGGGGAUGACGUCAAGUCCUCAUGGCCCUUAUGGGUAGGGCUACACACGUCAUACAAUGGGCGGUACAGAGGGUUGCCAACCCGCGAGGGGGAGCCAAUCCCUUAAAACCGCUCGUAGUCCGGAUUGUAGUCUGCAACUCGACUGCAUGAAGUCGGAAUCGCUAGUAAUCGCGGAUCAGCUUGCCGCGGUGAAUACGUUCCCGGGUCUUGUACACACCGCCCGUCACACCAUGGAAGUGGGGUUUACCAGAAGUAGUUAGCUUAACCGCAAGGAGGGCGAUUACCACGGUAGGCUUCAUGACUGGGGUGAAGUCGUAACAAGGUAGCCGUAUCGGAAGGUGC
rnacentral:rRNA from 1 species